rnacentral:rRNA from 1 species
GACGAACCGUCCAAACGGUAUUCGGAAUCACUGGGCUUACAGAGUUCGUAGGCGGUCUGGAAAGGUGGGUGUGAAAUCCCUCGGCUCAACCGAGGAACUGCGCUCAAAACUGCCAGACUCGAGGGAGAUAGAGGAAAGCGGAACUGAUGGUGGAGCGGUGAAAUGCGUUGAUAUCAUCAGGAACACCGGUGGCGAAGGCGGCUUUCUGGGUCUUACCUGACGCUGAGGAACGAAAGCUAGGGGAGCGAACGGG